GCUCGUUCUAUAUGGUCAGUCAUCCAAAUAGCUUCUGGCUUGUAUCCUCCUUGUAGUAUUGCUAAUGUAUUUGGCAACUGGUUACACGGGAUUGAUCACAGGUUUAGAACUUUUCUCAGGGUGGGAGCGCUUGCCGUUAUUUGGUCGCUUUGGCUAUGUAGAAAUGAUAAGGUUUUUAACGAUAAAAGUACUUCCCUGAUGCAGGUUCUCUACAGAUGUACCGGGACUCUUCGUUUAUGGUCCUCUCUACAACGCAUGGAGAAUCGAGACCUGUUUACGGAGGUGUGUACACGAUUGGAGGCUACGGCGAGGGAUACUUUUACCCAGCAUGGGUGGCAACGUGAUCUUAGGAUUGAUCCCCCUCCGCUUUAG
rnacentral:rRNA from 1 species